GGGUUGUGAGGUUAAGCGACUAAGCGUACACGGUGGAUGCCCUGGCAGUCAGAGGCGAUGAAGGACGUGCUAAUCUGCGAUAAGCGCCGGUAAGGUGAUAUGAACCGUUAUAACCGGCGAUUUCCGAAUGGGGAAACCCAGUGUGACUCGUCACACUAUCAUUAACUGAAUCCAUAGGUUAAUGAGGCGAACCGGGGGAACUGAAACAUCUAAGUACCCCGAGGAAAAGAAAUCAACCGAGAUUCCCCCAGUAGCGGCGAGCGAACGGGGAGGAGCCCAGAGCCUGAAUCAGCAUGUGUGUUAGUGGAAGCGUCUGGAAAGGCGCGCGAUACAGGGUGACAGCCCCGUACACAAAAGCGCAUGUGCUGUGAGCUCGAUGAGUAGGGCGGGACACGUGGUAUCCUGUCUGAAUAUGGGGGGACCAUCCUCCAAGGCUAAAUACUCCUGACUGACCGAUAGUGAACCAGUACCGUGAGGGAAAGGCGAAAAGAACCCCGGCGAGGGGAGUGAAAAAGAACCUGAAACCGUGUACGUACAAGCAGUGGGAGCACCCUUUGGGGUGUGACUGCGUACCUUUUGUAUAAUGGGUCAGCGACUUAUAUUCUGUAGCAAGGUUAACCGAAUAGGGGAGCCGGAGGGAAACCGAGUCUUAAUUGGGCGUUAAGUUGCAGGGUAUAGACCCGAAACCCGGUGAUCUAGCCAUGGGCAGGUUGAAGGUUGGGUAACACUAACUGGAGGACCGAACCGACUAAUGUUGAAAAAUUAGCGGAUGACCUGUGGCUGGGGGUGAAAGGCCAAUCAAACCGGGAGAUAGCUGGUUCUCCCCGAAAGCUAUUUAGGUAGCGCCUCGUGAAUUCAUCUCCGGGGGUAGAGCACUGUUUCGGCUAGGGGGCCAUCCCGGCUUACCAACCCGAUGCAAACUGCGAAUACCGGAGAAUGUUAUCACGGGAGACACACGGCGGGUGCUAACGUCCGUCGUGAAGAGGGAAACAACCCAGACCGCCAGCUAAGGUCCCAAAGUCAUGGUUAAGUGGGAAACGAUGUGGGAAGGCCCAGACAGCCAGGAUGUUGGCUUAGAAGCAGCCAUCAUUUAAAGAAAGCGUAAUAGCUCACUGGUCGAGUCGGCCUGCGCGGAAGAUGUAACGGGGCUAAACCAUGCACCGAAGCUGCGGCAGCGACACUCAGGUGUUGUUGGGUAGGGGAGCGUUCUGUAAGCCUGCGAAGGUGGCCUGUGAGGGUUGCUGGAGGUAUCAGAAGUGCGAAUGCUGACAUAAGUAACGAUAAAGCGGGUGAAAAGCCCGCUCGCCGGAAGACCAAGGGUUCCUGUCCAACGUUAAUCGGGGCAGGGUGAGUCGACCCCUAAGGCGAGGCCGAAAGGCGUAGUCGAUGGGAAACGGGUUAAUAUUCCCGUACUUGGUGUUACUGCGAAGGGGGGACGGAGAAGGCUAUGUUGGCCGGGCGACGGUU
rnacentral:rRNA from 1 species